rnacentral:rRNA from 2 species
GGCAUGCUGGAGGUAUCAGAAGUGCGAAUGCUGACAUAAGUAACGAUAAAGCGGGUGAAAAGCCCGCUCGCCGGAAGACCAAGGGUUCCUGUCCAACGUUAAUCGGGGCAGGGUGAGUCGACCCCUAAGGCGAGGCCGAAAGGCGUAGUCGAUGGGAAACGGGUUAAUAUUCCCGUACUUGGUGUUACUGCGAAGGGGGGACGGAGAAGGCUAUGUUGGCCGGGCGACGGUUGUCCCGGUUUAAGCGUGUAGGUGUGUGUUCCAGGUAAAUCCGGUUCACUUUAACACUGAGGCGUGAUGACGAGGCACUACGGUGCUGAAGCAACAAAUGCCCUGCUUCCAGGAAAAGCCUCUAAGCAUCAGGUAACAUCAAAUCGUACCCCAAACCGACACAGGUGGUCAGGUAGAGAAUACCAAGGCGCUUGAGAGAACUCGGGUGAAGGAACUAGGCAAAAUGGUGCCGUAACUUCGGGAGAAGGCACGCUGACAC